rnacentral:rRNA from 1 species
AAAGUCCUACGGGGGGCAGCAGUGGGGAAUAUUGCACAAUGGGGGAAACCCUGAUGCAGCGACGCCGCGUGAAGGAAGAAGUAGUUCGGUAUGUAAAUUUCUAUCAGCAGGGAAGAAAAUGACGGUACCUGACUAAGAAGCCCCGGCUAACUACGUGCCAGCAGCCGCGGUAAUACGUAGGGGGCAAGCGUUAUCCGGAUUUACUGGGUGUAAAGGGAGCGUAGGCGGUGCAGCAAGUCAGAAGUGAAAGCCCGGGGCUCAACUCCGGGACUGC